CAUUUUGGCACCCUCCUUCCAGAGCCACCUUACUCAAGUGCUUUUCCUCGGGAACCAAAACCCCCUAAAACCACCAGAGACAGAUCAAGCAAAUGAAAAUCUGCUAAUCAAGUCAGAAAAUUAUCACUCAAGGUAACAUUUAGUAUUUGGAAUCAUGGUGUUGAAGAAAACCCAGAAGAAGAAACCCAAAAGAGGUGGUAAUGAUGAUGAAGAGGAUAAGAUAAGUAAUCUGCCUGAUGCUCUAAUUCAUCACAUUUACUCAUUUCUCCCAACCAAAUCUGUUCUUUCUACAUGCAUUUUAUCUAAAAGAUGGAAUCAUUUAUCGAACUCUGCUCCCAUUCUUGAUUUUACUCUUUUCCAACUGUCCUAUCCUUGAAGAGUUAAGCUUGUUUGACUGCGACUUUCACAACUUUAAAGUUUUAUGUAUUACAUCUCCUUCACUGAAGCACUUGUCCAUUAGGAAUUGUCGUCUGCUUCAUCAGACAUUGAAGGUUUUCGCACCAAAUCUGCUGACCCUUACAUAUGCAGCAGACUUGCCGGCAGACUUUGUUCUCGAUAGCUUCCAGUCACUAGUUGAGGCAGAUGUUCAAAUUUUUAACGAUUUGGAUCAGGCGAGAAUAUAUGGUCCUUCAAUCAAACUUUAUCAGAAACUUUCUAAUGUAAAGCUCCUUAAAACGUCUGGUUCCUCCUUUCGGGGUCUCUCUGCAGCAAAUACCCUCUUAGCCGAUUUGUCUACAUUUUGUAAUUUGGUUCGUUUAAAAGUUAGUUCAGCAUUUUGGGGCGGUUGGGAUCCACAUGCGAGUUUUAUUUCGUCUAUGAAGAUAUUUCUGUGGUUUCUCCAACUCUCGCCUAAUCUAUAAUCAAUUGACUUCACCGA